CUUGAACCGGGAGAGGUAAGAGGUACUACAGGGGUAGGAGUGAAAUCUUGUAAUCCCUGUGGGACCACCUGUGGCGAAGGCGUCUUACCAGAACGGUUCGACGGUGAGGACGAAAGCUGGGGGCACGAACCGGAUUAGAUACCCGGGUAGUCCCAGCCGUAAACGAUGCUCGCUAGGUGUCAGGCAUGGCGCGACCGUGCUGGUGCCGCAGGGAAGCCGUGAAGCGAGCCACCUGGGAAGUACGGCCGCAAGGCUGAAACUUAAAGGAAUUGGCGGGGGAGCACAACAACGGGUGGAGUACCCUGCGGUUUAAUUGGACUCAACGCCGGACAACUCACCGGGGGCGACAGCAAUAUGUAGGCCAAGCUGAAGACUUUGCCUGAAUCGCUGAGUAGUGGUGCAUGG
rnacentral:rRNA from 1 species